rnacentral:rRNA from 1 species
UGCUUGAGAGUGGCGAACGGGUGAGUAAUAUAUCGGAACGUGCCCAGUCGUGGGGGAUAACGUAGAGAAAUUUACGCUAAUACCGCAUACGAUCUAAGGAUGAAAGCGGGGGAUUCUGCAAGGAGCCUCGCGCGAUUGGAGCGGCUGAUAUCAGAUUAGGUUGUUGGUGAGGUAAAAGCUCACCAAGCCGACGAUCUGUAGCUGGUUUGAGAGAACGACCAGCCACACUGGGACUGAGACACGGCCCAGACUCCUACGGGAGGCAGCAGUGGGGAAUUUUGGACAAUGGGCGAAAGCCUGAUCCAGCAAUGCCGCGUGCAGGAAGAAGGCCUUCGGGUUGUAAACUGCUUUUGUACGGAACGAAACGGUCUGCUCUAAUACAGUGGGCUAAUGACGGUACCGUAAGAAUAAGCACCGGCUAACUACGUGCCAGCAGCCGCGGUAAUACGUAGGGUGCGAGCGUUAAUCGGAAUUACUGGGCGUAAAGCGUGCGCAGGCGGUUAUAUAAGGCAGUUGUGAAAUCCCCGGGCUCAACCUGGGAAUUGCAUCUGUGACUGUAUAGCUAGAGUACGGUAGAGGGGGAUGGAAUUCCGCGUGUAGCAGUGAAAUGCGUAGAUAUGCGGAGGAACACCGAUGGCG